GUCCUGGCCCUAAACGCUGCUCGCUCGCUUUUGGGAGUAUCGACCCUCUCAGAGGCUAAGCUAACGCGGUAAGCGAGCCGCCUGGGUAGUACGAGCGCAAGCUUAAAACUCAAAGGAAUAGACGGGGACUUGCACAAGCGGUGGAUCAUGCGGCUUAAUUCGUCGCUAAGCGAAGAACCUUACCAGGGUUAGAAACCAAACUGCAUAUUCUAAGAAACUAGAAUAGCCUUCGAGGGUGUUUGG
rnacentral:rRNA from 1 species